rnacentral:rRNA from 1 species
AGAGAUGCAUUGGGUUUAAAGCGUGCGCAGGCGGUUUUGUAAGACAGAGGUGAAAUCCCCGGGCUCAACCUGGGAACUGCCUUUGUGACUGCAAGGCUGGAGUGCGGCAGAGGGGGAUGGAAUUCCGCGUGUAGCAGUGAAAUGCGUAGAUAUGCGGAGGAACACCGAUGGCGAAGGCAAUCCCCUGGGCUUGCACUGACGCUCAUGCACGAAAGCGUGGGGAGCAAACA